rnacentral:rRNA from 1 species
GGAUCGAAAGUACGCUAAUACCGCAUAUGCUCGGGAGAGGAAAGCGGGGGACCGCAAGGCCUCGCGCUCGAGGGGCGGCCGAUGUCCGAUUAGCUAGUUGGUGGGGUAAAGGCUUACCAAGGCGACGAUCGGUAGCUGGUCUGAGAGGAUGAUCAGCCACACUGGGACUGAGACACGGCCCAGACUCCUACGGGAGGCAGCAGUGGGGAAUAUUGGACAAUGGGCGAAAGCCUGAUCCAGCAAUGCCGCGUGAGUGAAGAAGGCCUUCGGGUUGUAAAGCUCUUUUGCCCGGGACGAUAAUGACGGUACCGGGAGAAUAAGC